GUGAUGGGUGCAUACAGGGAGGUUCGGUCGAUUGUGGGAAGUUGUAGGUUGUCCCAGUUGAAGUCAAGUGUUCUCUCCGUUGGGUUUGAUAGGUGAAGUGUUCAUAGAUGAUCUUGUGUUUAUCUUGAUGUGGGGUUGCCCAUCCCGUUCCCCUCCUUAGUCGUUGAAUGAAGUUCUUACGCCUCCUUACGUUUGCCUUUAGGUGAAAAUAACGCGUGUUUGCAUCCCCUCAUGCAGGUUUGUGAUUCUGGAACAUUGCCGUUUCCUCGCCUUCUCAAUUAC
rnacentral:lncRNA from 1 species